rnacentral:rRNA from 1 species
UACGUAGGUGGCAAGCGUUGUCCGGAAUUAUUGGGCGUAAAGCGCGCGCAGGCGGUCUCUUAAGUCUGAUGUGAAAUCUCGCGGCUCAACCGUGAGCGGUCAUUGGAAACUGGGAGACUUGAGUGCAGAAGAGAAGAGCGGAAUUCCACGUGUAGCGGUGAAAUGCGUAGAGAUGUGGGGGAACACCAGUGGCGAAGGCGGCUCUUUGGUCUGUAACUGACGCUGAGGCGCGAAAGCGUGGGGAGCGAACAGG